rnacentral:rRNA from 1 species
UACGUAUGGUGCAAGCGUUAUCCGGAUUUACUGGGUGUAAAGGGAGCGCAGGCGGUUCUGCAAGUCUGAUGUGAAAGCCCGGGGCUCAACCGCGGGACUGCAUUGGGAACUGCGGGACUGGAGUGUCGGAGGGGUAAGCGGAAUUCCUGGUGUAGCGGUGAAAUGCGUAGAUAUCAGGAGGAACACCGGUGGCGAAGGCGGCUUACUGGACGAUGACUGACGCUGAGGCUCGAAAGCGUGGGGAGCAAACAGG